AGGAUGAACGCUGGCGGCGUGCUUAACACAUGCAAGUCGAACGAUGAAGGCUGGAGCUUGCUCUGGCUGGAUUAGUGGCGAACGGGUGAGUAACACGUGAGUAACCUGCCCCAGACUCUGGGAUAAGCGCUGGAAACGGCGUCUAAUACCGGAUACGAGCUUCCACCGCAUGGUGAGGAGCGUAGGAAAGAAUUUCGGUCUGGGAUGGACUCGCGGCCUAGUCAGCGUUAGUGGUGAGGUAAUGGCUCGACCGAAGGCGAACGGACGGGUACGCCGGACCUGGACGACGGGGUCGACCGGGCAACGACCGGUGGAACCUGACGACACGGCCAAGUCCGUACCGUACGGGAGGCGUAGCGAGUUAGGGGAAUAGUACGCACGAAGUCGGACGAC
rnacentral:rRNA from 1 species